rnacentral:rRNA from 1 species
CUACGGGGCGCUGCAGUGAGGAAUAUUGGUCAAUGGCCGAGAGGCUGAACCAGCCAUCCCGCGUGCAGGAUGACGGCCCUAUGGGUUGUAAACUGCUUUUCUACGCCAAGAAAUCUGAUUACGUGUAAUUAGUUGACGGUAGCGUAGGAAUAAGCAUCGGCUAACUCCGUGCCAGCAGCCGCGGUAAUACGGAGGAUGCAAGCGUUAUCCGGAUUCAUUGGGUUUAAAGGGUGCGCAGGCGGGCUUGUAAGUCAGUGGUGAAAUACUGCCGCUUAACGGUAGAACUGCCAUUGAUGCUGCAAGUCUUGAAUAUGGUUGAGGUAGGCGGAAUGUGUUGUGUAGCGGUGAAAUGCAUAGAUAUGACACAGAACGCCGAUUGCGAAGGCAGCUUACUAAGCCAUUAUUGACGCUGAGGCACGAAAGCGUGGGGAGCGAACAGGAUUAGAUACCCUGGUAGUC